rnacentral:rRNA from 1 species
CGGCUGCAGUCGAGAAUCUUUAGCAAUGGGCGAAAGCCUGACUAUGCGACGCCGCGUGAGCGAUGAAGGCCCUCGGGUCGUAAAGCUCUGUCACAACGGAUGAAAGUUCAGCAUGUGAAUAAUGUGUUGGAUUGACAGUACGUUGAGAGGAAGCCACGGCUAACUCCGUGCCAGCAGCCGCGGUAAUACGGAGGUGGCAAGCGUUGUUCGGAUUUAUUGGGUGUAAAGGGUGUGUAGGUGUCCUUAUAAGUCGGGUGUGAAAUCCUUCAGCUCAACUGAAGAAUUGCGCUCGAAACUGCAAGGAUUGAGUGUAUGAGAGGAGAGGGGAAUUCUUGGUGUAAGGGUGAAAUCUGUAGAUAUCAAGAAGAACACCGGCGGCGAAGGCGCCUCUCUGGCAUACAACUGACACUGAAACACGAAAGCGUGGGUAGCAAACAGGAUUAGAUACCCCAGUAGUC